GUGACAGCCCCGUACACAAAAAUGCACAUGCUGUGAGCUCGAUGAGUAGGGCGGGACACGUGGUAUCCUGUCUGAAUAUGGGGGGACCAUCCUCCAAGGCUAAAUACUCCUGACUGACCGAUAGUGAACCAGUACCGUGAGGGAAAGGCGAAAAGAACCCCGGCGAGGGGAGUGAAAAAGAACCUGAAACCGUGUACGUACAAGCAGUGGGAGCACAGAGCAAUCUGUGUGACUGCGUACCUUUUGUAUAAUGGGUCAGCGACUUAUAUUCUGUAGCAAGGUUAACCGAAUAGGGGAGCCGAAGGGAAACCGAGUCUUAACUGGGCGUUAAGUUGCAGGGUAUAGACCCGAAACCCGGUGAUCUAGCCAUGGGCAGGUUGAAGGUUGGGUAACACUAACUGGAGGACCGAACCGACUAAUGUUGAAAAAUUAGCGGAUGACUUGUGGCUGGGGGUGAAAGGCCAAUCAAACCGGGAGAUAGCUGGUUCUCCCCGAAAGCUAUUUAGGUAGCGCCUCGUGAAUUCAUCUCCGGGGGUAGAGCACUGUUUCGGCAAGGGGGUCAUCCCGACUUACCAACCCGAUGCAAACUGCGAAUACCGGAGAAUGUUAUCACGGGAGACACACGGCGGGUGCUAACGUCCGUCGUGAAGAGGGAAACAACCCAGACCGCCAGCUAAGGUCCCAAAGUCAUGGUUAAGUGGGAAACGAUGUGGGAAGGCCCAGACAGCCAGGAUGUUGGCUUAGAAGCAGCCAUCAUUUAAAGAAAGCGUAAUAGCUCACUGGUCGAGUCGGCCUGCGCGGAAGAUGUAACGGGGCUAAACCAUGCACCGAAGCUGCGGCAGCGACGCUUAUGCGUUGUUGGGUAGGGGAGCGUUCUGUAAGCCUGUGAAGGUGUGCUGUGAGGCAUGCUGGAGGUAUCAGAAGUGCGAAUGCUGACAUAAGUAACGAUAAAGCGGGUGAAAAGCCCGCUCGCCGGAAGACCAAGGGUUCCUGUCCAACGUUAAUCGGGGCAGGGUGAGUCGACCCCUAAGGCGAGGCCGAAAGGCGUAGUCGAUGGGAAACAGGUUAAUAUUCCUGUAC
rnacentral:rRNA from 1 species